UAUAUAUAUAUAUGAAAAAAAAUGGUAUUAGUCCACUAGCUUAUAUGAACAUAUGAGCCCAACGGUCUAUAUUGAAUCUGGGCCAAUCUGACGAUCACGGAUGUCCGGUAGUGCUUGAAUUUUAUUUUAAUUUCUACAAAUUCAAAUCACUUGAAAUUUUAGAUGUAUGUUCUUCUAAUCAAGGCACACCUAAUAAAAAUAUUAAAAAAUACUAUUCGUGAAAAACAAAAUAACCAAAAUACCCCCUAAAUUUGGGGGUAUUUUGGCCAAUUUAUUUCAUGUAAAAUAUUUUUUGAUAUUUUUUGAAGAUUCACCUAUUUUUGAUAAACACACGCUUAAAAUUUCAAGUGAUUUGGAUUUUUAGAAAAAUAAAAUAAAAUUCAAACACUACCGGACAUCUGUGAUCGUCAGAUCGACCCAGGUUCAAUCUAGGCCGUUGGGCUCAUAGGUUCAUAUGAGCUAAUGGGCUAAUCUCAGAUUUUUCCAUAUAUUUAUAUA
rnacentral:pre_miRNA from 1 species